GACGAACGCUGGCGGCGUGCUUAACACAUGCAAGUCGAACGGCAAGGCCCUGCUUUUGUGGGGUGCUCGAGUGGCGAACGGGUGAGUAACACGUGAGUAACCUGCCCUUGACUUUGGGAUAACUUCAGGAAACUGGGGCUAAUACCGGAUAGGAGCUCCUGCUGCAUGGUGGGGGUUGGAACGUUUCGGCGGUUGGGGAUGGACUCGCGGCUUAUCAGCUUGUUGGUGGGGUAGUGGCUUACCAAGGGUUUGACGGGUAGCCGGCCUGAGAGGGGGACCGGGGACAAGGCGACUGAGAGACGGAGCAGACGCCUACGGGAGGCAGCAGGGGGGAAUAUUGCACAAUGGGCGGAAGUCUGAUGAAGCAGCGCCGCGGGUGGGAUGACGGCCUUCGGGUUGUAAACAGCUGUCGCCUGUGACGAAGCGUGAGUGACGGUAAUGGGUAAAGAAGCACCGGCUAACUACGUG
rnacentral:rRNA from 1 species